rnacentral:rRNA from 1 species
UACGUAGGGUGCGAGCGUUGUCCGGAAUUAUUGGGCGUAAAGGGCGCGUAGGCGGAUAGUUUAGUCAGAGGUGAAAGCCCAGGGCUCAACCUUGGAAUUGCCUUUGAUACUGGCUAUCUUGAGUUCGGGAGAGGUGAGUGGAAUGCCGAGUGUAGAGGCGAAAUUCGUAGAUAUUCGGCGGAACACCAGUGGCGAAGGCGACUCACUGGCCCGAUACUGACGCUGAGGCGCGAAAGCGUGGGGAGCAAACAGG